AAAAAAAUUAAAAAAAGAAAAACAAAUGUACAAGUUGCAAGUUCUAUGCCACAACAAAGCAUUAUUAACAGCAAGGCCACCAUUUCACAAUCAUCCUGCAUUAUCACAUCUCAGAUUGAGCAUGCCUUUAUUACAUGUCAGAUUGAGUAUAGCUUACAUAUAUGUAGUUAAUAGAGUUGAUGAUAUAUUUGCUUUUAGAUUAAUUUCUCCUGCAUUACAUUAUUGGAUAUUUUCUUAUGUUGGAG
rnacentral:misc_RNA from 1 species